AUUGAACGCUGGCGGCAGGCCUAACACAUGCAAGUCGAACGAGUGGCGGACGGGUGAGUAAUGUCUGGGAAACUGCCCGAUGGAGGGGGAUACCUACUGGAACCGGUAGCUAAUACCGCAUACCAUCGGAUGUGCCCAGAUGGGAUUGGCUGGUGGGUGGGGUAACGGCUCACAUAGGCGACGAUCCCUAGCUGGUCUGGGAGGAUGACGAGCCACAUGGGAACGGAGACACGGCCCAGAUCCCUACGGGGGGCAGCAGAGGGGAAUAUUGGACAAUGGGCGAAAUCCGGAUGCACACAUGCCGCGUGUAUGAAGAGGGCUUUCGGGUUGUAAAGUACGUUCAGCGAGGAGGCGUUAAUCACAGAAGAAGCACCGGCUAACUACGUGCCAGCAGCCGCGGUAAUAC
rnacentral:rRNA from 1 species